AACGAACGCUGGCGGCGUGGAUAAGACAUGCAAGUCGAACGGGACAGACCGAGUAGCAAUAUUUGGAAUGUUCAGUGGCGAACGGGUGCGUAACACGUGGAUAACAUUCCGGAAAGCGGGGAAUAGCCCAGGGAAACUUGGAUUAAUACCGCAUGUGGCCGCAAGGCUAAAGACGGGGACCGCAAGGCCUGUCACUUUCCGAUUGGUCCGCGGCCUAUCAGCUAGUUGGCGGGGUAAUGGCCCACCAAGGCUACGACGGGUAGCUGGUCUUAGAGAACGACCAUCCACACUGGAACUGAUACACGGUCCAGACACCUACGGGUGGCAGCAGUCGAGAAUCUUUCACAAUGGGGGCAACCCUGAUGGAGCGACGCCACGUGGAGGAUAAGGUCUUCGGAUUGUAAACUCCUGUCAUGCGAGAACAAGGUACUCAGGCUAAUAACCUGAUUGUUUGAUGGUACCGCAAGAGGAAGAGACGGCUAACUCUGUGCCAGCCGCCGCGGUAACAC
rnacentral:rRNA from 1 species